ACCAGUUAGGAAGUAGAGGUGGGGCAAUGAGAAUUCUGGGAAGAGGGAAGUUUCAGUCUGCAGUCGUCACCCAGACACAGAGGAAGCAAGAUGUGACUGCCUCACUGAGAAAGAAGGCCACCUUGUGUGAAGAACAUUCUGUACUCUGCCCCAUCCAUAGUACACAUUUGCCAGCCUGUGAGGAGCCCGGUGCGAGGGGCUGGAAGAACGUGGUGAUGGAGAGAGGCUGGAUCCUGUGCCUCAGAGACCAUCUUCAGGUCGAGGAAAGCCUGCUCUUCACAAGAGUCAUUCUAGUGAUACUUUGUUUGUAUUUUAAUAAAUAAAGUCUGCUUGAAGAUCAGAA